CAUGGGUUUGGAAAUUAUUAUUUCCUAUGAGUGUAAGAUAUUUUUAUUAGAAGCUUCAAUGAUAUUGGCUGUCUUGUUCGAGAUGGCAAUGUAUUGAAUAUAGAUCGGAUCAGUCAAUAUUCGUAUCAAUCCCAUAAUUAAAAACUCUAUACCCAUAUCCGCCCCAUUCCCACCUCGGAUCGGGUCAAGUCAGGUUAAAUAGAAAUACAGAUCAGAUCG
rnacentral:lncRNA from 1 species